CAAAGUUAGCGCGGAUCGAUCGAUAAAACAGGAGAAUGUCGGCAUAUGCGAACUUAUGAUGCUUUGUGGACCAGUAUGACAUCACAACGCUGUAGCAGCCAACACUGGAGGGAGAUAUUGCUACCUGAUCUACAUCACACAGAUGCAGAUCUAUCAUGGUUUCUUGCAGACCAUUCCCGGGAUAUCACA